CCCUGGUUAGCUCAGUUGGUAGAGCGCUCCACUGGAAAUGGAGAGGUCCCUGGU
rnacentral:tRNA from 1 species